rnacentral:rRNA from 1 species
AUCGGUUGGAAUCUACACGAGAGUGUGCAAUUAAACGGAUAACCGCGGAAAAUCUGCGGCUAAUACGUGCAUAAAAAUGGACUUCUGGUUCAUUGCAUUUAUCAGAUUGAGGGUAUGGAGGGUAACUUCCAACUUGAAUGAUGAUAAAUAUCUCGCGGAUCGCACGAGCAUGACUCGGCGACAAUUCGUUCGACUUUCCGCCCUAUCAACUUUGGAUGGUAGUGUAGUGGACUACCAUGGUGGUUACGGGUGACGGAGAAUUAGGGUUCGAUUCCGGAGAGGGAGCCUGAGAGAUGGCUACCACUUCCAAGGAAGGCAGCAGGCGCGAAAAUUGCCAAACCUACAAAGUAGGAGGCAGUGACAAUAAAUAUCGGAGGGUCAAAUGAUCCGACUGGAAUGAGAUGGAUGUAAAUAAAUCUACGAGAAACAAUUGGAGGACAAGUCUGGUGCCAGCACCCGCGGUAAUUCCAGCUCCAAGAGCGUAUAUUCAAUUUGCUGCAGUUAAAAAGCUCGUAGUUGGGUGAGGGAGGUGAGUUAAAGGAGGUGUUGGGGAAACCUAAUGCUGAAUUUAUCAUCUUCAUUAUGGAGGGAUCGUUGUGAGGUGUUCUUAACUGAAUGCUUCAUAUACACCCUCCCGUUGACCGUGCUAAAUUCGCGUGUUCAAAGCAAGCAUUUUCUUUUGCUUGUAGAGUCUAGCAUGGGAUCAUAAAAUAUGGAAAGAAAGACUUUCUCUCAAAUCUUUCUUUCAAUGACAAAUAGGGGCAAGCGGGGGUGGAGGGAUUCCGUUGUUAGAGGUGAAAUUCUUAGACCAACGGAGGACCAACAGAAGCCAAAGCGUCCAUCAAGGGUGUGCCCAUUGAUCAAGAACGAAGGUUAGGGGAUCAAAUACGAUCAGACACCGUAGUAGUCCUAACCUUAAACGAUACCGACCGGGGAUGGGAUGAGACAAAAAAUCAUAUCCAUUCUGUACCCUGAGAGAAAUCAAGAGUGUUUGGGUUCCGGGGGGAGUACGGUCGCAAGGCUGAAACUUAAAGGAAUUGACGGAAAGGCAAACAAGAAGUGGAACCUGCGGCUUCCAAUUCGACCCAACACGGGAAAACUUACCAGGUCCAGACAUGGGAAGGAUGGACAGAUUGAUAGAUCUUUCUUGAUUCUAUGAGUGGUGGUGCAUGGCCGUUCUUAGUUGGUGGAGUGAUUUGUCUGGUUGAUUCCGAUAACGAACGAGAUCACGAGAGAUUUGUUGAGGGGGGAUGAGGGGGUGAGAAAGGGUGAAAAUGAGGUAGACUGGGUUUAGGCUCAGUCGGCCUCACGGGAUCCUUUGCUCCUUUGUCCACUCACCAACUCCGACCGGAGUGUUUCAACACUCAGGAAGGUCGUGGCAAUAACAGGUCUGUGAUGCCCUUAGAUGUUCUGGGCUGCACGCGCGUUA